rnacentral:rRNA from 1 species
UCAAGCGUUUAAGGGCGUGUAGUGGAUGCCUUGGCACUGAAAGCCGAUGAAGGACGUGAUAUACUGCGAUAAGUUUCGGGGAGCUGUAUGUAAGCUUUGAUCCGAAAAUUUCCGAAUGGGGAAACCCACCACUUUAUGUGGUACUUUAAACUGAAUACAUAGGUUUAAAGAGACAACCUGGAGAACUGAAACAUCUAAGUAACCAGAGGAAAAGAAAUCAAUUGAGAUUCCGUUAGUAGUGGCGAGCGAACGCGGAGUAGGCCAGUAGUUUUGUUAGAAAAAUUUGAAUAGUUUGGAAAUGCUAACCAUAGAGGGUGAUAGUCCCGUAUGAGUAAUGUCUAACAAAAUUCUUGAGUAAAGCGGGACACGAGAAAUCCUGCUCGAAUAUAGGGGGACCACCCUCUAAGCCUAAAUACUCUUCAGUGACCGAUAGUGAACUAGUACCGUGAGGGAAAGGUGAAAAGAACCCCUAUUAGGGGAGUGAAAUAGAACCUGAAACUGCAUGCCUACAAUCAGUCCGAGCCCUUUUUAGGGUGAGGGCGUACCUUUUGUAUAAUGGGUCAGUGACUUAAUUUAUUAAGCAAGCUUAAGCCAUCUAGGUGUAGGCGCAGCGAAAGCAAGUCUUAAUAGGGCGAUUAGUUUAAUGAAUUAGACCCGAAAACGAAUGAGCUUACCAUGAGCAGGUUGAAAGUUGGGUAACACCAACCGGAGGACCGAACCAGUUGACGUUGAAAAGUCUUUGGAUGACUUGUGGUAAGGGGUGAAAGGCCAACCAAAUUCGUAGAUAGCUGGUUUUCCGCGAAAACUAUUUAGGUAGUGCGUCGAAUAAAUAGAUGUUUAGAGGUAGAGCACUAAAUGGGCUAGGGGGAAGAGAUUCUUACCAAACCUAAUAAAACUCCGAAUGCUAGACAUUGUUCUUCGGCAGACAGACUGUGGGUGCUAAGGUCCAUGGUCGAGAGGGAAAGAGCCCAGACCACCAGAUAAGGUCCCAAAAUCAUGAUUAAGUGUGAAAGGAUGUGGAAAUUCCUUAACAGCCGGGAGGUUGGCUUAGAAGCAGCCAUCCUUUAAAGAUAGCGUAACAGCUCACCGGUCUAAUAGAGUUUCUGCGCCGAAGAUGUAACGGGGCUAAAAUCAUGUACCGAAUCUGUGGCUUUGCAAAGUUUUCGAACUUUGUAAGGGGUAGCGGAACGUUCUGUAAGCCUGCGAAGGGAUACCCGUGAGGGAUCCUGGAGGUAUCAGAAGUGCGAAUGCUGACAUAAGUAACGAUAAACGAAGUGAAAAACUUCGUCGCCGAAAAUCUAAGGGUUUCUAUGCAAGGUUAAUCCGCGUAGAGUUAGUCGGCACCUAAGGCGAGGGCGAAAGCCGUAGUCGAUGGAAACAAGGUUAAUAUUCCUUGACCUGAUGGUAGUGACGGAUUUCGUAAGUUGUGAGUUCUUAAUGGAUUGAACUUGCCGCGAAGAGGUCCCAAGAAAUAGCUCCAUCAUGAAGACCGUACCCGAAACCGACACAGGUAGAUUAAUAGAGUAUAUUUAGGCGCUUGAGAGAAUGAUGUUGAAGGAACUCGGCAAAAUGCUUCCGUAACUUCGGGAUAAGGAAGACCCUUUUGUAGGCAACUAUGGAAGGGUGGCACAAGCCAGGGAGAAGCGACUGUUUAUCAAAAACACAGGGCUCUGCUAACACGUAAGUGGAUGUAUAGGGUCUGACGCCUGCCCGGUGCUGGAAGGUUAAUGCGGUUGGUGCAAGCUAACUUCUGAAGCCCCAGUAAACGGCGGCCGUAACUAUAACGGUCCUAAGGUAGCGAAAUUCCUUGUCGGGU